GACGAACGCUGGCGGCGUGCUUAACACAUGCAAGUCGAACGGAAAGGCCCUGCUUGCAGGGUACUCGAGUGGCGAACGGGUGAGUAACACGUGGGUGAUCUGCCCUGCACUUCGGGAUAAGCCUGGGAAACUGGGUCUAAUACCGGAUAGGAGCCAUUUUUAGUGUGAUGGUUGGAAAGUUUUUUCGGUGUAGGAUGAGCUCGUGGCCUAUCAGCUUGUUGGUGGGGUAAUGGCCUACCAAGGCGGCGACGGGUAGCCGGCCUGAGAGGGUGGACGGCCACAUUGGGACUGAGAUACGGCCCAGACUCCGACGGGAGGCAGCAGUGGGGAAUAUUGCACAAUGGGCGCAAGCCUGAUGCAGCGACGCCGCGUGGGGGAUGACGGCCUUCGGGUUGUAAACUCCUUUCGCUAGGGACGAAGCUUUUUGUGACGGUACCUAGAUAAGAAGCACCGGCUAACUACGUG
rnacentral:rRNA from 1 species